rnacentral:sRNA from 1 species
GGAGCAUGCCCUUCCAGGGCGUUUCCUCCCAAUGACUCGGCCGCCUUCUUCUCCUGGGAGGCGGCCGUCUUUUUGUCCGGC